UACAGAGGGUGCAAGCGUUAAUCGGAAUUACUGGGCGUAAAGCGUGCGUAGACGGUUAUUUAAGUCGGGUGUGAAAUCCCCGGGCUCAACCUGGGAAUUGCAUUCGAUACUGGAUAGCUAGAGUUCGGCAGAGGGAAGUGGAAUUUCCGGUGUAGCGGUGAAAUGCGUAGAGAUCGGAAAGAACACCAACGGCGAAAGCACUCUGCUGGGCCGACACUGACACUGAGAGACGAAAGCUAGGGGAGCGAAUGGG
rnacentral:rRNA from 1 species